rnacentral:rRNA from 1 species
GUCGACGAUUACGGGAGGCAGCAGUAGGGAAUCUUGCGCAAUGGGGGAAACCCUGACGCAGCAACGCCGCGUGUGGGAUGACGGCUUUCGGGUUGUAAACCACUUUCAGUGAUGACGAAAAUGACGGUAAUCACAGAAGAAGGUCCGGCCAACUACGUGCCAGCAGCCGCGGUAACACGUAGGGACCGAGCGUUGUCCGGAUUUAUUGGGCGUAAAGAGCUCGUAGGCGGUUCUGUAAGUCGGAUGUGAAAACUCAGGGCUCAACCCUGAGACGAGACGCCAUCUGAUACUGCAGUGACUAGAGUCCGGUAGAGGAAGAUGGAAUUCCUGGUGUAGCGGUGGAAUGCGCAGAUAUCAGGAGGAACACCAAUGGCGAAGGCAGUCUUCUGGGCCGGUACUGACGCUGAGGAGCGAAAGCAUGGGGAGCAAACAGGAUUAGAUACCCUGGUAGUCCAUGCCGUAAACGUUGGGCACUAGGUGUGGGGUCUUCUAACGGAUUCCGUGCCGUAGCUAACGCAUUAAGUGCCCCGCCUGGGGAGUACGG